CUCCUUCCACCAAAGCACAGGUGGAAACUCAUCUAUGACUAGGGAGUUGCCUGAGGACGAUAGAAGUAAGGCGACUUGUCCAGGGAACAUAGAUAAUAAAAGUCAGAACGAUGCCUCUAUGAAAGCUGAAUCUUUUAAGAGUUCAUAUUCUCCUGCUGCUUCUCACUCACCUCAAGUCGGGCUCCCCUGUUGCAAAGGGCAUGCGCUAAUGAGCAAAGGCACAACCUCCUGCCAUCACUAUGUUCCCGGCCCUGGACAGGGCAGCCCAUAG
rnacentral:lncRNA from 1 species